GAUGAAGAACGUAGCGAAAUGCGAUAAGUAAUGUGAAUUGCAGAAUUCCGUGAAUCAUCGAAUCUUUGAACGCACAUUGCACCCCCUGGUAUUCCGGGGGGCAUGCCUGUCCGAGCGUCAUUGCAACCUUCAAGCGCGGCUUGUGUGUUGGGUCUCGUCCCCCGUGGACGGGCCCGAAAGGCAGUGGCGGCGUCCCGACAUGGUGCCCGAGCGUAUGGGAAUCCUCUUCCGCUCGAAUCGGCCCAUGCGGCGCUGGUCGUAACCAAAUUUUUUACCGGUUGACCUCGGAUCAGGUAGGGAUACCCGCUGAACUUAAGCAUAUCAAUAAGCGGAGGA
rnacentral:misc_RNA from 1 species